CCCCCAGAUGCUGACAGUGGGAUACAAAGAAAUAAAGUUUUUUAGAGUCAAACAAAAAUGGAUGUGCAUUAUGGCUUUGUACCCUGCUAGCUGUGUGUCCUGGGACAAGUUGCUUCCCAUCUCUGGGCCUGCAUCUCAGGACAGCUUCAAGAGGAAGCCAGCCUCAAGGAUUACCCUACAGCCAAUUCUGUGGCUAAGGCCUUAGCCUUUAUGUAAUGGGAACAAAAUUGGCUCUCUGACUUCUAUUGUUCUAUGAUUCCGUGACUCAUAGAAUUCUGAACGGGACCCAGAGCUUGGAUACUGAGGGACCACCAACCAUGAUAGAGACCAUCUGUAUCAGAUAAGAUCCUUUUAUUAAUAGGCAACAGAAAUAUCAACUAGAACUGGCUUUAAAAGUACAGAAAUUGGCCAGGCAUGGUGGUGCAAGCCUGUAAUCCCAGCUACUUGGGAGGCUGAGGCAGGAGAAUCUCUUGAAGCCAGGAGGCAGAGGUUGUGGUGAGCCAAGAUGGUGCCAUUGCACUCCAGCCUGGGCAACAAGAGCAGAACUCCAUACACUGAAAGUAUACUUGAACAGUUCCAACUGUACAUACUGUAUGAAGCUUGUCCUCUGACUAGGUUUCUUAUUUCUAUGUGGAAUUGCAUAUCUUGCAGCAUUCCGAAGAAAAAGUGUUCCCUGAUGUUCAUGACCGGAUUCCCCUUGUAUCCCAUUGGCCACAAUGGAAUCAUGCAACCAGAUCCCAGCUGCAAGAGAGGUUGAGAAGAUGUGUGAUUAGACGUGGAUAUUCUUUCAUUUUGAUGACUCGAGUCAACAGGAAGUCUGAAAGGAAAUAAAGGGGCAAACCAGCUCA
rnacentral:lncRNA from 13 species